rnacentral:sRNA from 1 species
CAGGUCGAGUCUUUCAAUUAUCUUAGGCUAAUGUGGAACAGCAGAUCCUGAGUCUCAAGUGUUAAAAAUAAACACCAGGACUCUGCUGUUGGUCUGAAUCAUCUCCAAGGGUCAUGUGCUCUGCAGUUCAACUUGAAGGUUGCCUAAAAAGGUGGAUCAAGCUGUAUGGAGAUGGCGUCAGUUGACUUGAGGUUCCCCAAGAAGAUUGAAAAUGUAUGAAGACUCCAGCUGAUAUGGUAAACAAAUUGUUGUCUUUAAGUGAGAAGUUAACUUUUAAUUGUGUAGUAUCUCAAUGUUUUAGUAAAAUUGUAAUGCAAUGGUGCCCUUUUUUCCAAACUUGACUUUUAUAACCUAAAUUCUAUAACGCCACCCCUAAUUGUGAUGCAAAUGAUGACUGCAUAGUUCAGCAGAAUUUCCAUGUAGAACACAGAGCAAUGUCUUUCGCUCCUAGCUGAUGCAUCACCACAGUCCUAUUUCAAUAAUGCUCCACUCAUUGCCCAUGCUCACUUGUUGUUUCUCAUUGCAGCAAGAUGUCUGCAUGUGGCCAAUCGUUUCAGAUUUUCUGACUUAAAAUGGAGAUGAAUGACCCGUCAUUAAAGUAGUCUUCAUG